CUCAAAAGUAAUUGCUAUAUCCGCAAAUCCUCUGGAAUAAACCCAAUCAUCGCUUCCACCACUAGACGCAUCUAGAUAAUCGCCAUCAUCAUCAUCUUGAUCGCCAUAUCGUUUGCAUCGGUUGGUGGGAACAUUUUAAAGUUUCAGAAGCUUUCUCUGUGUUACAACGAAAAUGUAAAGCUCAACAAUUUGGUUUAUUAUUCAAUAUCAAAUGAAUAAAAAGACUUUAUUGGAUCGAUUCAACAUAAAUGAACAAAUUGACUUUUCGAUGUCGCUU